AAAGGAAUAGACGGGGGCCCGCACAAGCGGAGGAACAUGUGGUUUAAUUCGAUGAUACGCGAGGAACCUUACCCGGGCUCGAACGGUGCAUGAAUAAGCAAGAGAUUGUUUAGUCCUUCGGGACAUGUAUCGAGGUGCUGCAUGGUUGUCGUCAGCUCGUGCCGUGAGGUGUCGGCUUAAGUGCCAUAACGAGCGCAACCCUUGUUGUUAGUUACCAACAGGUAAAGCUGGGGACUCUAACGAGACUGCCACCGUAAGGUGUGAGGAAGGGGGGGAUGACGUCAAAUCAGCACGGCCCUUAUGUCCGGGGCGACACACGUGUUACAAUGGGGGGUACAGAGGGCAGCCAUCCGGUGACGGAGCGCCAAUCUCCAAAACCCUUCUCAGUUCGGAUUGGAGUCUGCAACCCGACUCCAUGAAGUUGGAUUCGCUAGUAAUCGCGCAUCAGCCAUGGCGCGGUGAAUACGUUCCCGGGCCUUGUACACACCGCCCGU
rnacentral:rRNA from 1 species